rnacentral:rRNA from 1 species
AGCGAACGCUGGCGGCAGGCCUAACACAUGCAAGUCGAACGAACUCUUCGGAGUUAGUGGCGGACGGGUGAGUAACACGUGGGAACGUGCCCUUUGGUACGGAAUAACUCAGGGAAACUUGAGCUAAUACCGUAUGUGCCCUUCGGGGGAAAGAUUUAUCGCCAUUGGAGCGGCCCGCGUCUGAUUAGCUAGUUGGUGAGGUAAAGGCUCACCAAGGCUACGAUCAGUAGCUGGUCUGAGAGGAUGAUCAGCCACAUUGGGACUGAGACACGGCCCAAACUCCUAAGGGAGGCAGCAGUGGGGAAUAUUGCCCAAUGGGGGAAAGGCUGACGCAGCCAUGCCGCGUGAAUGAAGAAGGGCUUAGGAUUGUAAAAUUCUUUCACCGGGGACGAUAAUGACGGUACCCGGAGAAGAAGCCCCGGCUAACUUCGUG